AAACCAACAGGGAUUGCCCCAGUAACGGCGAGUGAAGCGGCAAGAGCUCAAAUUUGAAAGCUGGCUCCUUCGGGGUCCGCAUUGUAAUUUGCAGAGGAUGCUUCGGGAGCGGUCCCCAUCUAAGUGCCCUGGAACGGGACGUCAUAGAGGGUGAGAAUCCCGUACGGGAUGGGGUGUCCGCGCCCGUGUGAAGCUCCUUCGACGAGUCGAGUUGUUUGGGAAUGCAGCUCUAAAUGGGUGGUAAAUUUCAUCUAAAGCUAAAUAUUGGCCGGAGACCGAUAGCGCACAAGUAGAGUGAUCGAAAGAUGAAAAGCACUUUGAAAAGAGAGUUAAAAAGCACGUGAAAUUGUUGAAAGGGAAGCGCUUGCGACCAGACUCGCUCGCGGGGUUCAGCCGGCAUUCGUGCCGGUGUAUUUCCCCGCGGGCGGGCCAGCGUCGGUUUGGGCGGUCGGUCAAAGGCCCUCGGAAGGUAACGCCCCUAGGGGCGUCUUAUAGCCGAGGGUGCAAUGCGACCUGCCUAGACCGAGGAACGCGCUUCGGCUCGGACGCUGGCAUAAUGGUCGUAAGCGAC
rnacentral:rRNA from 1 species